rnacentral:tRNA from 1 species
AGUAGUAUAGUUUUUGAAAAAUUAUAUCUUGCAAAGAUAGGGAGACCUUGAGGUUGCUACUU